UGAAAUACAUGAAAUACAACGAGAUACAUUGAAUUACAAUGGGAAAAAAAAAGACAAUGAAUACAAUGAGAUACAUGAGAAUACAUUAAAUAUAUUAACAGAAAAUCAAGUUGCGCAGCCCCAAACUCCAUCGUCUUUAUUCAAGAACAAAUCAAUAAAUUAUAUGUCAGCAGCUGAUGUUCAAGAAACAAUUUAAUGUCGGCAGCUGCUAUUGUUGGUGAGAAUUUUGAACAUAACAAUCUUCAAGAAUAAUGCAUUAUUAUAAUGGGAGGAACAGAGAAAAGGAGGGAGGAGAAAAUCAAUUUUAUUGGCAUAAAAAUUGUUGGCGAGAAUCUUGAACAUAGCAAUCUUCAAAAUGAGGCAUGUUUCCUUGAUUUGUAGAUAACAGUAGUGAAG
rnacentral:lncRNA from 1 species